GAACACAUGAUAAUCCUUCGGUUCGUUGAACCAUUGAAGAGUGCUGCAUGAAUUCCUCCGCCAUUCGUCGUUUGGAAGAGUGAGUCUUCGGAUCUCUUUUUAAUUGCUCGAAGACAAAGGUAUUUCUAUCCAACCAUGCUUGCCAUAAUAGGUAAUCAAAUUUGGUACUCCUUUUGCUAAAAUCUAGUUGUUUCUUCAAGAUUUUCAUAGAUUUUGACCACCAAUCGCAUAUUAAUAUAUUUGGAUUUCUGGCUAUUACGUUGGUUACUGGUGAAAUGUUCCACAAGGGCAUGGCUUCUGAGCAGAAAACAGCGGCGUGCAAGGGAUUCUCUAGCAAUUUCAAGCAUCUUGGGCAUAUUUAUUGACUUGUGGUAAGCGACUUUUAAUUCUGAGAACUUUGUUUCCAUACUGAGGGUGAAGGCUAUCAAUUCGUGGAUGGAAGAACUGGAACGCUAUUUUAUAUCCUAAUUUAACAGUAUACUCCCCUGAAUUUGUAUGAAUCCAAUAGAUUGAAUCCUCUUCUUGUUUUAUUGGGAUUUGGUAGAUGAUUUGUGUAAUCUCAGACUGAAUUUGUUGCAAAGAAGCUCAGAAUUUCACUCCUUGGCGUCUGUGAAAAGUUGUCUAAUCCAAGUGAUAUUCUCAUCUCUAAAUCCUGGAUCUAUUAAUCUCAAUGGUGGCUAAUUACCAAACCAUGGGUUUUUCCGAAUUCGUAUUCCCCCUUCUGCUGUAAUAUUCUAUUUUCUCAUUUUUUUUAUAAUUUUUUUCCCUUCCAAUAGGCUCUGACAGGUUCAAGAGGGUCUUGUUCCAGACUUCGCAUCUAAGAAAGAUGAAAGUCUAAAAUAUUUGUUUUUAAAAACCUUAAAGAAAAAGGAGUGUUGUUUUGUCAGCAGUCACCGUCCUUGCUUAGCUAGCAUUGCUAUAUUAAAGUCUUUAGGUCUUUAAAUUCCAAUUAUCCACUGGUCUUUUCUUUGCUCAUAGUGUCCCAGCUCAGUCGGUGCAUUUUCUUUUCAUUUUGUCUCUUGACUCCACCAAAACUGCAUCAUCAUGCAGUGAAUCUCAUCAAUCAAACUAUUCGACAACCUGAAACAACUUAAUAUGUACACUGGAAUAGCUGUUUCGACUGUCUUAAUCAAUACUUCCUUGCCUCCUAUUGAUAUGAAAGUCCUUUUUGAAUGUGAAAGUUUUUUAGUCACUUUGUCUUUCACAAAGAGAAAGUCUCUUUCCUGUAUCUAUGCACAAUGAACAGAAGCCCAUAUACUUAUCUUGAGUGCCUAUAUUUGGGACUCCAAGAAAAUCAGCAAGAUCUUGCUUUACAUCAUUAAGAGUGUUUUACUGUUCAGCCGAAGUUCCUGGUAAAGGUUAUUUAGCAUAUUUUAAUAUUUAUUAUAGGAUAUUACGUCUUGCUCCUGGUAAAGGUUAUUUAGCAUAUCUUAAUAUUUAUUAUAGGAUAUUACGUCUUUAUUAUUUCGAUUCUUUUAACACCUAUAAAUAAACAUAAAAUAAGAAGACACUACAUCCAACUCAAAACCUUAAGGUAGUAAGUUAAUGAGUCCCUCGUCUUAUCAACUCCUCACUUUUCCUUGUUUUCUUUGAUGUGGAACUAACUUCAGACACUACUCUUCACACUUGCAACAUUAACAAUCUCCCCCUCAAGUGUGAGUCUUCAUAUCAAGCAUCAACUCAUCUUUAACUCCUACGUAAUAUCCUAUAAUAAAUAUUAAGAAAUGCUAAAUAAUUAUAAUGAAAGCUAAUUGAUCCUAAUAUAUUCUAACAUCCCUCUCAAACUCAAGUGACAACUUGAGUUUGAAACUUAUUUAAAAUAACGAAAUAAAGAAUAAAAACUGUAUAAACUGAUAGAACGGGUGCAGACGGAACUACUGGAAGAAAGCACGGACGAAACUGCCACAAAAAAAUGCAGACGAAACUGUCACAAGAAAAUAUAAAGAGAAUUGCCAUAAGGAAACGCAGACAGAACUGCUGCAAAAAAGCGCAGGCGGAAUUGCCACAAGGAAGUGCAGACAAAACUACCGCACAGAAAUGCAAACGGAACUGCCACAAAGAAAGCACAGUUGGAACUGCUGGAAGCGCAUACGAAACUGUUAGAAGGAAACACAGACGAAACUGUCGCAAGAGUGACCAACUGUCGAAAAAUGCUAAAAAGAUGGCGAACUACUGGAACACUGUUGAAAAAUGACAAAGUGCGAAGAGAUGACAAACUAUUGGAAGGUGAUAAAAAACAUAUAGUUUCUCCAUGAGAAUAAGUAAGUAGGAAAUGAGCUAAUCGGCUAGGUGAAAAAGCAUAAAAAACAUUGACACAAGAGAAGAAAAAAAUGGCACAGAAAAAAGUAUGAAAAAUAUAGUGAUUUCACCAGAAGAAAAACAACCUAUCCUCCUCAAGAAGGAUACCAUGGAUCUGAUACCAUGUUAGAAAGGGUAAGAAAGAGCAGUAGAGAAAGGAUUUGU